rnacentral:lncRNA from 1 species
UCCCAAGAGGGAGACCUGAGAAAAUCUUCAGAGGAGACUGAUGGCCUUCAUUUAGAUAAGAACUAGAUAUUCUUCAUUUAGAUAAGAACUAGAAAUGUGGUUAUUCUUUUAGUUCCAGACUCCUUUGUUUGUCUCAAUUUGCGAAAAUAAAUACUAAUUCAUCUGGAUUCCCAAACACCUUCCUAAAUUGACCAGACAGGAUCCUCAUGGAUGGCAGUUUCUCCCCACAGUGGAGAGAAGUUGGUUGAUCAGUUCACCUAACCCCUUUUCAUCAGUGUGGACCCAACAGGAACAUUUUACUCUGCCCUACUUCUAGGCUUGCUGUGGCCUGGCAAAGCUGUUCAUCUUUUAUAGAUAGUAAAUCAGCUUUUUCUUUUUUACACCUUCCUUUUCCAUCUCUGCAGCACUGAUAGAGGCUGUAAACUAACUGGCUGGCAUUUUAAAAGCACCCUCCUUUCUUCUAUC